rnacentral:rRNA from 1 species
UACGGAGGGUGCGAGCGUUAAUCGGAAUUACUGGGCGUAAAGCGCACGUAGGCGGUUUGGUAAGUCGGAUGUGAAAGCCCCGGGCUUAACCUGGGAAUUGCAUCUGAUACUGCUUGACUAGAGUAUGCUAGAGGGAAGUGGAAUUCCGGGUGUAGCGGUGAAAUGCGUAGAUAUCCGGAGGAACACCAAUGGCGAAGGCAACUUCCUGGGGCAAUACUGACGCUGAGGUGCGAAAGCGUGGGGAGCAAACAGG